GGAGGAAUGGCAGAGCUGUCGAAUGCCGCAUCGAAAACUGCUGACUGUAAGAGGUACGGGUUCAAAUUCCUUCUUCCUCCG
rnacentral:tRNA from 1 species